rnacentral:rRNA from 1 species
CACGUAGGGCGCAAGCGUUGUCCGGAAUUAUUGGGCGUAAAGAGCUCGUAGGCGGUCUGUUGCGUCCGCUGUGAAAUCUCGGGGCUUAACCCCGAGCCUGCAGUGGAUACGGGCAGACUAGAGGUAGGUAGGGGAGAAUGGAAUUCCCGGUGUAGCGGUGAAAUGCGCAGAUAUCAGGAAGAACACCAAUGGCGAAGGCGGCUCACUGGACCGGUAUUGACGCUGAGGUGCGAAAGCGUGGGGAGCAAACAGG